GAUAAGUGGCUUGCUGCUUGCGGAGUGGACGCCGACCCCUGCCAGAACGGCGGGUUUUAUGGAGAAGGCUGCGCUUGUGUGUGUCCCUCGGGCACCUCAGGGGCCAACUGUGAGACGGUGACGGGAGACUACUAAGACGAGUUGACGAAUUCCUGCACUGAGAAAGUAACUCAGGAAGGCGCCCUCACCUCGCCGGGCUAUCCAAGCAACUACCCAAAGAUCCAGUGCGUCAAGUGGAUUGUAGCUCCCGCAUGCCACGUGUCCAGAGUGACCUUCUCAGACUUUUACCUGUACGGAGAGAAUCCCUACUGCGGAUCGACUACAGAGACGUGCUGCUACUUUGAUGGCCUGGAGAUCAGAACCGACAACUUGUACGACGGUGAAGUGUAUUGUGGCACGGACAUCACUGCAGGCCAGACCUUCACUGGAACCGGUCAAGAGAUGGUUUUAUACUUCAGGGCGAUAAGUAAUAAUAUUCGCAGGGUAUGGUCUGCGAAUUGUGCCGCAACCGGGAUGCACAACCACCACUGCAGAAACCUCCACCACCACCACCACCAUAGUAACAACAACCACCACUACAGAACCUACCACCACCACCACCACAGCAACAACCACCACUACAGAACCCACCACCACCACCACCACAGCAACAACCACCACUACAGAACCCACCACCACCACUACAGAACCCACCACAACCACAGCAACAACCACCACCACCACCACCAGCCCACCACCACCUAGAUGUUUAAUUCAGGCUGUCAACGGAGUGUUCUACUGGUCCUCCCCCGGCUUCGGCAUCACCAACUACCCGAAUAACUUUAACUGCGCAGUGCGAGGA